ensembl:lncRNA
GCAUGGUAGAAGGUGGUCUGGUGGAAGGUGGUCUGGUAGAAGGUGGUCUGGUGGAAGGUGGUCUGGUAGAAGGUGGUCUGGUGGAAGGGGCAUGGUGGAAGGUGGUCUGUUGGAAGGGGCAUGGUAGAAGGUGGUCUGGUGGAAGGGGCAUGGUGGAAGGUGGUCUGGUAGAAGGUGGUCUGGUGGAAGGUGGUCUGGUGGAAGGUGGUCUGGUGGAAGGGGCAUGGUAGAAGGUGGUCUGGUGGAAGGUGGUCUGGUAGAAGGGGGUCUGGUAGAAGGUGGUCUGGUGGAAGGUAGUCUGGUGGAAGGUGGUCUGGUGGAAGGGGCAUGGUGGAAGGUGGUCUGGUGGAAGGCGGCAUGGUGGAAGGUGGUCUGGUGGAAGGGGCAUGGUGGAAGGUGGUCUGGUGAAAGAUGGUCUGGUAGAAGGUGGUCUGGUGGAAGAUGGUCUGGUGGAAGGGGCAUGGUGGAAGGUGGUCUGGUGGAAGGGGGCAUGGUGGAAGGGGCAUGGUGGAAGGUGGUCUGGUGGAAGAUGGUCUGGUAGAAGGGGCAUGGUGGAAGGUGGUCUGGUGGAAGGGGCAUGGUGGAAGGUGGUCUGGUGGAAGGGGCAUGGUGGAAGAUGGUCUGGUAGAAGGGGCAUGGUGGAAGGUGGUCUGGUGGAAGAUGGUCUGGUAGAAGGGGCAUGGUGGAAGGUGGUCUGGUGGAAGGGGCAUGGUGGAAGGUGGUCUGGUGGAAGAUGGUCUGGUAGAAGGUGGUCUGG